GAAAUCAAUGAAAUAGAAAAAUAGAGAAAAAUAAUGAAACCAAAAGCUGUUUCUUUAAGAAAAUCAGUAAAAUCAAUAACUCUCUUACAGAUGGAUCUGGAGUUAAAGAGAAAUGAAACAGGAAUUGAUAUCAGAAAUGAGAGUGGCUACACCACUAUGGGUCUAACACAUGUUAAUAUAAAAACAGGAAAUAUUAUUAAUAACUUCACACCAACAAAUUCGACACAUUAGGUGAAAUGGAAAAAUUCACUGAAUAUUAAAAACUGCCAGAGCUCAUUCUACAAGAGAUAGGGAGCCUGAAUAUAUCUAUUAAAUAAUUUGAACUUAUAGUUAAAAACCUUCCCACAAAGAAAACAUCACACCCAGAGGACUUCACUGACAAAUUCUACAAAACAUUUAGGGAAGGGGGAGCCUUGCUGCCUCAGUCAGUGGAGCGUGUGACUCCUGAUCUCAGGGUGGUGAGUUCGAGCCCCACAUUGGGUGUAGAGAUUCCUAAAAACAAACAAACAAACAAACAAACAAACAAAAAGAAAAACAAACAAACAUUUGGGGAGGAAACAAAACCCAUUUUACAAAAAUGCUACCAGAAAAGGGAAGAGAAGGAAACACCUCCCAACUCAUUCCGUGAAACCAGCAAGUAUGAAAAGGGAUAACAUAUGGUGAUCAGGUGGGAUUGAGCCCAGAGAUGCAAAUUAACAUUUGAAAAUCCGUUAGUGUAAUUUACCAUAUUAACUGAAAGAAAAGCCGUAAGAUUAUCCCGAUAGAUAUCGAAAAAGCAAUGGACAGAAUCUAAUACCUGUUCCCGAUGGAAAAAAACUCUCAGCAAACUAACCCUGGAAAAGGCUUCUCCGGUCUGAAGAAACAUUACUGUUGACAUCACACUUAAUUAUUAAAGACUAACGCUAAAGCUCGCUCUAAAAUCGGAACAAGGCGGUGGGUUUGCUCUUUCCAUUCUGCUAUUCUACGUUGUACCUGGAGGUUCGAGCCAGACGGAUUGGAAAGAAGUAAGUAAAAUGGCCUUGAUUUGUAAAUGACAUGAUCAUCUAUGUAGAAAAUUCUAUGUAACCUGCAAGAAAAAAGCCACUAGAACUAAUACUAGCGCACUUUCCGAGACGCAAGAUCAACGUAGGCGUGUGCUGAACAGAGCUCCCCACACGGGUGACACGACCACUUUGGAAAACGGUUUAGCAAGCGUUUUCAGAGGUAAGCACACAUCACGUCUAGUCUUGUGAUCUGGUCAUUCUACUCCCAGGUGUUUACCCGACAGAGAAGAAGGCGCGUGUCCGUACAAAGACUGGCGCACGGAUGUGAUAGCCCCAAACUGGAAACCACACAGAUGUCCCACAAGUGAGUGGGCACCCGGACUGCCCCACACCCAUAGGACGGGACCUAGUCAACAGUAGAAUGAAACAGGUGUCUCAAGGGAAAGAAACGUUAGAAGUAAAGAGUGCACGUUGCAUGAUGGCAUCUGUGUAACAUUCUAGAACAGCCAGUGGCUCUGCAGGGACAGGGCAGGAUCCGGGGACGGGGGAGGCGUGGGGACGUCUGGGGGUGAUUGAUGAUGCUGUCUGGACUGUGGUCUUGGAUGUAAAUGUGCCAAAACGUAUCCAAUUGUACACUUUCGAUAGUGCACAUUAUUGGUUCCGUUAUGCUUCAGCAAAGGCGUUGUUUUAAAAGACAACCCAGGUUGACGUGCUGGAAGGACAGAGGAGAGCCCUCCACAGAGCGGUCGGGUCAGGACACGGCUGAGGGGACAGGCCUGCAGCACACAGACGCCGCAUCAGUGUUUGUUGAGUGAGUACAUGAAUGCCCGACUCGGGGACGUAAAUCGUUUUAGACGUCUUAACACGCGCACAACCUCUUUGGUUACGCCUUCCCUCCUGUCACUGCUCUCUCAACUUGAGAGCCUCACUGGAGCUUUCCCUCAGCAGAGCACAGGGCUGGCCUCCUUCCUGCAUCUGUUCUGGAACCACUGUUUGGCCAGACCGGGACCCACUUACUCCUUCCUCUUCGAGGGACACUGGGAGUGCUACCUGUGACUCUCAGCCACAGACGGCGUACGGGGGCGGCCCCACGCACAUCCUUCUGGGAGCGAAGAAGAAAAUCGUAACAGCCAGUUUUCGCACAACGCAGAGGCCAGCACGCUCCCACGGUGCACCUUGAUGGCACCACCCCCGUCUUAGUCUGGCCCUUCAGGGAUCUUGGUUUUCUCGAGGACACUGCCCGGCCGGCCGGCCGGCCGAACUUGGGCAAGUACCCUGCAUGCCCCGGUAAGACCCGUGGUGACCACAGGGUGGGAAAGGCCAGGAGCUUCCAGGAAAACCUUUGGGAUCCGAUGGUCUAGGAGAUGCCGGCACGUCCUGUCUGAUGUAAGGUAAUUCGCCGCGCCCGACAGCACCUGCUUCUGCGAGGCCCAGUGCUCGGUGACACUCUAGACUUGGGGUGUGGCACGCACCAGCACACGCACUCUUCUCUGGCCGCUUUCCUGGGCGUCGGGCAGUGUCGGCAAGAGAAGUCCCUGCAGCUCAUCCAGGCAGGACACAGGCCACUCGCCACUUGGGUGGACGGCCCGUCGGGCCCACAUUGCCGGUGGCAGGUGCCCACAGGAGAAAGCCCUCCAGCCCAGACUCCUAGCGCCCUAGGGCAAGGCCACUUCCUCCUGAUCAAAAUCAGUUAUGCACUCGAGGGGGCGCCUGGGGGGCUCAGCCGGUGGAGCCUCCGCCUUCGGCUCAGGUCAUGAUCUCGCGGUUUGUGAGUUCCAGCCCCGCGUCGGGCUCUGUGCUGACAGCUCGGGGCCUGGAGCCUGCCUCGGAGUCUGUGUCUCCCUCUCUCUCGGCCCCUCCCCAACUCACUCUGUCUCUCAAAAAUAAACAUUGAAAAAAAUUAAUUAUCCACUUGAAAAGCGGCCCUGAGCUGGGGCCAAAGUCUGACCCCAUCUCCCCAGUGGCCGUGUGACCCAAGUGCCCCCUGAGGACCAAGUGCAUGCAGUGUUCCGUCCCGAAGGGAAACUAGUAGGGACUGGCCCAGGAACAGCUGGAAGUCAGCGGUACAGACAGGAAGUGCCGGCCCCCCUUGCUCUCAGCCCACCCGGGGCUUUACCGGGGAGGGGGCGGGGGGGGGGAGGUUCCUGCUGGCUGUUGGGAUACGAGAACGUGCAGACACGGUUGUGGGCAAAGGCGCACACGUACGGUGCCUCAGCGGGCCGAACCCAGCCCACGCACCGGGCCCGGCCCGGCUUCGCACAAGGUAUCGUCCAGGGGGGCGGGUGGCUGGCCAGACUCCUGAAGCCCAAGACGGGAAACUUGAGGACGAGGUCCGGGGAGAAGCACGGAGGGAGGGUGUUGUGUCCCACGGACACACCUGCCUGGAUCUGGAGGUGUCCCCGCACCUGGGACUCAGGCCUCCCUGCCACCCCAGUGCUAUCCCCCCGAGCCCAGGCAGAGAGACUACGUGUGGGCCAGUCACGAGGACUCCCCAGCUCUCGGGAAGCCCAACCACAAAUCCGCAAGGACCAAAGCUACCCGUCAGCGCGUCGGAGAACGGGGAUGCGUGGGCAACCUGGUGGCAGCCUGACAACACGGAAGCUGGUCACGGUGGGGACACCACGACCGGCAGAGGGUACGGCGGUGUCGUCCUGACUGCCCCGGAGCCACAGCCACCUCCAAAGGAGGGACUCCUCCGACCUCCGGCUUGAGCUAGGAGCUCAGGGCUGAGGUGCAAACUCUGUCCGUGUGCUGCCGUUCCACCAAAAGCCAGAACCCAGGGCUUGGGGGGGGGCGGGGGCAGCCUCACUGCCCAGGGAAUCUCAGCUCUUCCAGCUUGAAGGUCCUGGCAUCCAAGGAAGGGCCUGGCCCACCGGGCGACUCAGUCCCCCUCCUGUAGGCCGGGAGCCCAGGGGCUCCAUCGGGUCCUCAGACCACUGAACCAGCAGGUAGAGAAGACGCUGUUUUACUAGUGGGGGAUGGGUGCCAACCACGAGGGGAAAAUGGGGUAGGUGCUCAUUGGGAGUUGAACCGUAUGCCCCCCCCCAAUGGAGAACACGCACAAGCACGGGUGGAGGAGGGGCAGAGAGGGAGACACAGCAUCCGAAGCAGGCUCCAGGCCCCGAGCUGUCAGCACAGAGCCCGACGUGGGGUUUGAACCCACGAACUGCGAGAUCAUGACCUGAGUCGAAGUCGGACGCUCAACCGACCGAGCCACCCAGGCCCCACUAUCCCCCACAAAUUCUUAUGUUGAAGUUCUAACCCCAGGGUCUCAGAACAGAAUUCUAUCUGCAGGUGGGGCCUUUACAGAGGAGACUGCGAUGAGGUCAAUCCAUGUGACUUAUAUCCUUCCAGGCAGGGAACACAAGGACACAGACACGUGCAGGAAGGAGGCAGCUGUGCACGAGCCCAGGAAAGAGGCCUCAAAGGAAGCAACCCUGCCCACACCUUGAUGUCAGACUGGCCUCUGGGGCUGGGAGAGAACGCGUUUCUGCAGUUGGAGCCAUGCGGGACUUUGUCACGCUCUGUCGUGACCACUGAGCUGGCUGAGACAGGUUUCAUGAAAGGACGGGAAGACCAUGCCUAGAACCCGGGGACUGCGCCUUGGGUGACAAUAGCAGUCAGUGGGUAACGGUGCCCCACAGAGACACACGGACCGGGCCCCCCAGGCACUGAGGCACCCACGUGGGGCAAGAGGAACAGGUAAGGACUUUGGGGUUCGGAGGGAUGGACAGUCAUGCUGACUUCCCGCGAUCGGGCAGUCGGGGGCACCUGGUGGCUCUUGGGUUUUGCGCGUGGACAGGGGACCGGCAGGUUUUGGAGAGCCAGAGGGGCUGAGUAGCUCUGGUCUUCCUCUGCCCUUCAGACCUCCCCCCGUCCUGAGCCCAACGUAGCCCCGGAGGGCAGCAGAGGAAGGGAGAUCAGAGCCACCACACCCGCGCUCCUGCUCACAGGGCCCCCUCCCUGGCUGGCUGCGACCCCGGGCUGAAGGUCUCUGCUCCUUGCCAGGUGGCCUCUCCACACCUUUCUGUCUCUGGACCGCCCACAGGACCCCAGGAGGUGCCCCCCACCUUGCAAGGUCAUGGACACGUUGUCAAAGUCGUGGUGGUCUGGCUCGUUCCACGUCUCGAAGUUCCACUUGGAAACGUGGGAGAGUCCGUACCUGUCUGCAGAGUGUCCCCACUGGCACACGUGCCCCCCAGGGGCGAGGCCAAGCCUAUCCCAAGUCCCAGGGAGACGGGCCCACGGUCGGAGGCUUGGAGGUGCUGACGACACCUCAUUCCACGCGGGCCCACUGCACCCUGCCCGGCCUGCUGUCCCCAUCCGGGGGCCCUGGCCCAGGGUUCGUGACAGAGGCCAACAAGGUGGCCGGGUGAUGCGGGAGGAGCCUCCCCAGGAGCACCCCCCCUCUCCCGCUAAGGCCUGUGCCCUGCCCACCAACGUAUCUCCUGGCCAGGAGGGAGACCAGCUCCUUCCACUCAAACACCUGCUGCUUGUCCUCAAAGUCGGUGAAGCGUUUGGAGGGGCUGCCCAUCAGCUCAAAGCCUGCGACACAAGAAGGUGGCUGUCCUGCCGCCCGCCUGCCACACGGCACCCGUGCUCCACCCAGCCUGGGCUCCACCGUGCCGGCACGGAGGCCAGCCUCCCCGGUGCCUCACCAGUGCGGACGCAGAGGAGCCGGGUGGUGGGGAGGGGGCAGGACUGGCAGACGGAGGGUGGGGCUGGCUGCUCACCUGGGAGGAGCUGGUUCUCUCGGAGAAGAUCCAGGAACCCAUCCAGAUGGGUGAAGUUGUAGCUCAGGCCUUGCUCCACUGACCCCCUAUACGAGGACACUCGAUGUCAGCGCAGAGAGAAGUGGGCCCCAGGCUGGAACUGAGGCCACGUGCAUGCAGGCAGGGAGCCUGCAAGGUGCCACACAGGGCUCAGAUCCAGACUCCUCAAGGGUCCCUGUCUUUGGAAAACGCCAACGACGGAAGCCUGCCAGUCAUUGACAGCCUAGUAUGAACUGGUGUGCCUGUGCCUGAAUCCCAUGCCCAAGCCUUUGGGCUCAGGCAUGGCACGAGGCAGGCAGGUCUUUUGGAAAAGAUACAACGGGACGGAGUAGGGGAGGACGAGGCACACUGAAGACAGCUGGCCGUGGACUGGGGAGCCAUGGGAGAAGAGCCUGGUAGGACCUGGUGGGUGCCAUGCCUGUGUCUUGCAUCACCUGGAGGUCAGGGCUCCAGAGUUGUCUCGACAGUACUCCUCUCCCCUCUCCCACACUCCGAGAGGCAACAUGGGCAGUCAGAAAAGGGGGAAGGGCGGCCUCCCCCACCCCCCCACACCCACCCCCCCACACCCACCCCAGACCGGGGCCCAAUUUCCUCCGGGUUCACAUUCUGACAGGGGACAGAAAUCAUCAGGCAACUAUUUGAAUCUUUAAGGACACAUCAGAUGUACCCCGAGGGAGAAGUGACAGGGAGCCAAGGGUCAGGCAGGGAGGGCCUCUCUGAAGUAACAACCAAGCAAUGAGGCAGGCCAGCAAGAAUGCCUCGGGGAACAGACAGGCAGCACGUGCAAAGGUCUUGGGGUAGGAAUAAAGUUGUGGUUGUCAAGCAGCAGGAAGCAUCAAGUGUGCCUGGGGCAGAACAGGGUGCGGGCUGUGACAGGUCACUGGAGGCCUUGUGCCCAUGGUGAGGACGGGACUGACUCACAAGGAAAUGGAGCCCCUUUCAGAGGUCCAAGUGGAGCACUGCCACGACUUUAAGACUUUUUUUUUAAGAGCAGUUUUUAAUAAAUUUUUUUAAAAUGUUUA